rnacentral:rRNA from 1 species
GCGUAAAGAGCUUGUAGGCGGUUUGUCGCGUCUGCUGUGAAAAUCCGGGGCUCAACCCCGGACUUGCAGUGGGUACGGGCAGACUAGAGUGUGGUAGGGGAGACUGGAAUUCCUGGUGUAGCGGUGAAAUGCGCAGAUAUCAGGAGGAACACCGAUGGCGAAGGCAGGUCUCUGGGCCACUACUGACGCUGAGAAGCGAAAGCAUGGGGAGCGAACAGGAUUAGAUACCCUGGUAGUCCAUGCCGUAAACGUUGGGCGCUAGGUGUGGGACUCAUUCCACGAGUUCCGUGCCGCAGCUAACGCAUUAAGCGCCCCGCCUGGGGAGUACGGCCGCAAGGCUAAAACUCAAAGGAAUUGACGGGGGCCCGCACAAGCGGCGGAGCAUGCGGAUUAAUUCGAUGCAACGCGAAGAACCUUACCAAGGCUUGACAUAUACCGGAAACUUCCAGAGAUGGUUGCCCCCUUUGGGUCGGUAUACAGGUGGUGCAUGGUUGUCGUCAGCUCGUGUCGUGAGAUGUUGGGUUAAGUCCCGCAACGAGCGCAACCCUCGUUCUAUGUUGCCAGCACGUAAUGGUGGGGACUCAUGGAAGACUGCCGGGGUCAACUCGGAGGAAGGUGGGGAUGACGUCAAAUCAUCAUGCCCCUUAUGUCUUGGGCUUCACGCAUGCUACAAUGGCCGGUACAAAGGGCUGCGAUACCGCAAGGUGGAGCGAAUCCCAAAAAACCGGUCUCAGUUCGGAUUGGGGUCUGCAACUCGACCCCAUGAAGUCGGAGUCGCUAGUAAUCGCA